AUGAGGAGGGCAUACCGAAAAAUGUGGCGGGUGGUGCCUUGCAUGAGUAGAAAGAAUUUCCGGACUGACUCCUGGAAAGACAUAGAGGAAAUACUCAAGAGUAAGCUAGCAACUAUCAAGGAGGAGCCAGAGACAUGUGAGGAAAGCCUUACACCGCCGCCAAGACUAUGGCGCUUUGCGAAGAAGGGACAGAAGAUGGGAUCAAAGGACAUUACAAGGCACUUUCUCAUGCCAAACUUCAACCUCAAAGACUCUUAUUUGCUAUUCAUGACUGGCUUUGCAUCUAAAAGGUAG
rnacentral:lncRNA from 1 species